UACGAAGGGGGCUAGCGUUGCUCGGAAUCACUGGGCGUAAAGCGCACGUAGGCGGCAAUUCAAGUCAUCUGUGAAAUCUCCGGGCUUAACCCGGAACGGUCAGAUGAUACUGCUUUGCUAGAGUGCGGAAGGGGCAAUCGGAAUUCUCGGUGUAGCGGUGAAAUGCGUAGAUAUCGAGAGGAACACCUGAGGUGAAGACGGGUUGCUGGGCCGACACUGACGCUGAGUGCGCGAAAGCCAGGGGAGCAAACGGG
rnacentral:rRNA from 1 species